rnacentral:miRNA from 2 species
CUGAUUUCAUUUGGUGACGUAGA